CUUCCGAGGAAGGAGGAACCACAUUUGAUUUUGGGGCACACCUCAGAACUGCUCGUUAACCAAAUCAAGAGAAGCACCGACGCACGACCAAAACCCUUUGCCAAACACACGACGGGGGAAGCGCUGGCGCAGGUGCCCCUGGGAAGACGCACGGCAACAUGCUGCUGGGACGUUGCUACAGCCCGCGGGAGUCUGGACAGUCCUCGUAAUCUCGGGGCUCUGACCAUCACAUCUGCUUCACCAGCGCACCCCACCUGGACAUCCCACCUGCACACCCCACCUGGACACCCCACCUGGACAUUCCACCUGUGCAUCUCCCCUGCACAUCCCACCUGGACAUCUCACCUGGACGUCUCACCUAGACAUCCCACCUGGACAUCCCACCUGUGCAUCCCACCUGGACAUCCCACCUGUGCAUCCCACCUGGAUAUCUCACCUGCACAUCCCACCUGUGCAUCCUACCUGGACAUUCCACCUGGACAUCCCACCUGUGCAUCCCACCUGUGCAUCCCACCUGCGCAUCCCACCUGCACAUCCCACCUGGAUGUCUCACCUGGACAUCCCACCUGUGCAUCCCACCUGGACAUCGCACUUGGACGUCUCACCUGGAUGUCUCACCUGGACGUCUCACCUGGAUGUCCCACCUGCACAUCCCACCUGGACAUCCCACCUGUGCAUCCCACCUGGAUAUCUCACCUGCACAUCCCACCUGUGCAUCCCACCUGGACAUCCCACCUGUGCAUCCCACCUGGACAUCCCACCUGCGCAUCCCAUCUGCACAUCCCACCUGUGCAUCCCACCUGGACAUCCCACUUGGACAUCUCACCUGGAUGUCCCACCUGCGCAUCCCACCUGGACAUCCCACCUGGACGUCCCACCUGGGCAUCCCACGUGGGCCUGGCAGUCUUCUCAUGGAAAGUGAUUGCUACUCUUGUCCCAGGUGCCCUGGGCAUUGAAACGCGACCCUCCUUCAUGCCGUGGGUUUCUCUUCCUGCACCUCAGUGAUGAGCCUCCUGAACCAGGUGCCAGCAGGCCCAACCCGAGCUGGCAAGGUGGCCCUUCCGUGUCCUCCCAACCCCUGUUCACACCACAGGUAUCGCCCCCGUGUGUGGUCAGUCGUGUGCAAGGCUGCCCACGGCUGCGGAGACCGUGCCUGAUUCGCCCCAGUGUCUUCGGCUCCAUCCCAGGGCCCGGCCCCCAGGGCACCCACAGACUUCUCUAAAUACUUCAAGGGGUAGCUCGAGUGGACGUGUGUGGUGCAUUCCGUGCCGCGUGGCUAACAACGGAGACCCCAGGACCCGUCCCCUGGGAAAUUCCCGUCCCAAGUGGACGUAGGGUUAACUGCCGGUUGGGGCCGAUACCUGACGCAGCUUCCACAUCCCAACACGGCACCAGCUCAGUCCCUUCCAGCUCCUGAGAGCAGAGCCUGACUCGGGUCUGCAGGGCUGCCGUCCUCUGGAGGCAUCGGGGCCCCCGCGUCCCAGUCUGUGAGCCCGGUCCCUUGUCCCGCCUUCGAGCCGCAACCCGGCAUCUUCAAAUCUUCGUCUCGCUCCUCAUCCUGUCCUCACCCCCUCUGUCUGACGUGACUCUUCUCCGUCCCGCUCACCGGACCCUGGUGGUCACGCUGGCCCCUCAGGAUCAUCCAGCAUAAUCCCCCCCGCCAGCCCUUGACUGCAUCCCAUCCGCAAAGCCCGUCUGCGGCGUAAGGACAUCCGCAGGGCCCAGGGAUUGGGACCUGGACACCUUAGGCCGCCUGCCGGAGUCC
rnacentral:lncRNA from 1 species